AUCAACUUUCGAUGGUAGGAUAGAGGCCUACCAUGGUGGUAACGGGUAACGGGGUGUUAGGGCACGACACCGGAGAGGGAGCCUGAGAAACGGCUACCACAUCCAAGGAUGGCAGCAGGCGCGCAAAUUACCCAAUCCCGACACGGGGAGGUAGUGACAAUAAAUAACAAUACGGGGUCCUUUAGGGUUUCGUAAUUGGAAUGAGUACAACUUAAAUCUCUUAACGAGGAACAAUUGGAGGGCAAGUCUGGUGCCAGCAGCCGCGGUAAUUCCAGCUCCAAUAGCGUAUAUUAAAGUUGUUGCAGUUAAAAAGCUCGUAGUUGAAUUUCGGGAUCAGUACGUUGGUCGUGCCUUGGUACGUACUGGUGUAACUGAUUCCUCCCUUCUGACGAACCGUCAUGCCAUUAAUUUGGUGUGGCGGGAAAUCAGGACUGUUACUUUGAAAAAAUUAGAGUGUUUAAAGCAGGCUCGCGCUUGAAUACAUUAGCAUGGAAUAAUGAAAUAGGACGUUGUUCUUAUUUUGUUGGUUUCUAGGAUCGACGUAAUGAUUAAUAGGGAUAGUUGGGGGCAUUAGUAUUCAAUUGUCAGAGGUGAAAUUCUUGGAUUUAUUGAAGACUAACUUCUGCGAAAGCAUUUGCCAAGGAUGUUUUCAUUAAUCAAGAACGAAAGUUAGGGGAUCGAAGACGAUCAGAUACCGUCGUAGUCUUAACCAUAAACUAUGCCGACUAGGGAUCGGACGAUGUUAAUUUUAUAAUGACUCGUUCGGCGCCUUACGGGAAACCAAAGUGUUUGGGUUC
rnacentral:rRNA from 1 species